GGUGGGUUGCCAGAGUGGUCGAAUGGGGCCGACUGCAACUCGGUCGCUUAUGCCUCGCAGGUCCGAAUCCUGUACCCACCUCGA
rnacentral:tRNA from 1 species